rnacentral:rRNA from 1 species
AUGGAAAACCACCACGACUCCCUCGCCGACGGGCGGUGCGUCGACGGCCCGGCCUUGUGGACCGAAAUUCGCCACCGGCUGUCCCGGGAUUCCAUACUGAGGCACGAGGAGGCGCGGACGCGAGCCGCGGAGGCCAAGGCCGCCCUAAACGGGGAUCACUGGGAGUGGGACGACGACGGUGCAUAUGCCGUCAUCGAUCCGGCCUCCUUGAAGGCCAUGGUGGCCAUGGAGACGCCGAAGGUGGGCGAGACGAGGGAGCAGGGCUGCGCGGUGUGCCUCGAGGGUUUCGUGGCCGGCGGCAAGAAGCUGAGGACGAUGCCCUGUUCCCACUCCUUCCACCAGAGAUGCAUCUUCGACUUGCUCCUCCGUAGCCGAUUCUGCCCGGUCUGCCGUUCCGAGAUGCCCCCUAGGUCCGCCGACGUGUCGGAGCCGGAGCCGGUGGCUUAG